CGAGGGUGAGGGUGUUCGAGAAGCUAUUUACGGUUCUUGUGGUGAUUGGUUGUGGCGGUUGUAUUGUGGGUGAUUAUAUAUGCAAGAUGUUUGGUUCGUUGGAUUGGAGAUAGUGAUGAAGAAGCAGAUGAUAAAUUGAAUUGGGGAAGAUGAACAGUAAUGUUGUGUAACAUAUUCUAUUCUAUUUUAUAAUUACAGUGUAGUAUGCUAAUUCUUCUCUUUCUCUUCGGCAAAGUGUAUCUCCUUCGCCUUCUAAUUCUUCUCUUUCACUUCUCCAUCAGCUUCAUUGUCUUAUUUUUCAGCACCACCGCCACUAAUAACCAUCUCAGAAUUAGAUGGUGGGUA
rnacentral:lncRNA from 1 species